CUUCCCCUCCUUGGCCCCAGUCUCCCCAAUUCUAAAAUCGGAUACUGGAUAAAAUGCCACGGAAGAACCUAGGGAUGCACCAGGAACCACGCGCCUGAAUGCCACAGGUUUGAUUUGAUGCAACUGCAGCUCUGUAAGCAAAUCUGAGACGUGUUCACAUGUGGCAGCUGUGCAUGGGUGAGGGGGCCUUCAGGAAGGUCCCUCUGCCUGAACAAAACAGACAUGUCCAGUGGCAGGACUCAUCUGACAACACAGACCCACACCCCUCCCCACCCCAGAGGCUCAGAACAGUGUCCACUAGAGUUGGAAGUGGCUCUAAAUCUGCUACACACCUCCAGCCUCCAAUAACAAGUGGCCACCAGCAAAGGCAGGGAGGCAUCAGCGGUGAGUACCCAGGUUUCCCCCAGAGCAUCCGAGUGGGAGGGAAUUUGGCUUGGCAAAAUCUUCCAACAACUCCCAGAGCCUGAACAACCUUUUCCCAGCCCCAGGUGGGUGGAAGAACACAGCCUGCUGCCUCAUCACCAUGGAGACAGGCAGUAGAGAGGGUGGUUAAAAGCAUGGGCCCAGACCUCCUGGGGUUCAAAUCUCAGCUCCUCCACCCACAGGCUGUGAGACUUUGACAAUUCACUUAAAUUCCUUAUGCCUUAGUUUCCUCAUCUGUAAAACAGAGAUAAGAAAAGUAUGAACUUCACAGGAUUGUUUAUAGGAUUAAAUACUCCAUAUGGCGCAUUUAGCACAGUGCUGGGCAGCUGAACUGGGAGGCAUAAGCCCUGGGUUCCAGCCCUAGCUUUGCCACCAACUUACUGUGUGAGUUUGGACAAGUCACUUGCCAUCUCUGGCACUCAGAGUCUCCAUCUGCACAACAAUCUCAAGAAACGCUACCAGUUAUGACCAGCUGAGACUUUGGGGAGGGCAGCUUAGCAUGGGGCUGUCUUGGUGAGCUGGGGGCCCUAGUGUUGGCUGAGGCCUGAUCAUGAGCUCUACACUACCCUUUCCUCCCCAGAUCUAUUUUCCCAAAUUGGCAGCAGCUGAUGGCAUCUCUCUGUACCCUCUAUCCCUCUAGCCUGCCCACAGGGCCCUGUGUUGCCCUGCUCAGCUGGUACUCAGGCCUUGGAGAAAUGGCACUGGUACCCACUGACCCCAAACAAAGGUAUCUGCAGUGCCCAAAGCAGAAGAUAUAGUGGCUCAUACUUAAACCUGCCUGUGAGCCCUCUAGAGAGGCAGGUACAAUUGCGGAAGGAUGGAUGUAAUUGUUUGAAGAUGCUCAUAAUCCUUCGGCGGUAAUGGCAGGAAGCUUUAAAAUGAAGCCCUAAUCCGCUAAUAACCUGGCAGCCCCACAGCCUUCUUCCCUCCUGAUCUCCAGGAAGGGAGAAGGAACUCUAGCCACUCCCUUUCCCAAGGGAGCAGAAAGGCAAGUGUGGGCUCUGACCCAAGACCACCGGAUUUUGACUCUCCUGCAAGACCCAGCUUCCUUCCUGCCUCCAUCUCCAAGAAGUCUUCCCUGCCCAUUUCAUCCUUCUGAAGUCUUUUCUGCCCCCUCUGUCCCUAGAAAUAUUCUAGGACAGAACUGGAUGACAGACUGGCUGGACAGUAAAGAAAGGAAUGAGGCCUGGUGCGGUGGCUCACGCCUAUAAUCCCAGCACUUUGGGAGGCCGAGGCAGGCAGACCGCCUGAGGUUAGGAGUUCGAGGCCAGCCUGGCCAACAUGGUGAAAUCCCAUCUCUACUAAAAAUACAAAAAUUAGCUGGGCAUGGUGGCGGGCACCUGUAAUCCCAGCUACUUGGGAGGCUGAGGCAGGAGAAUUGCUUGAACCCGGUAGGCGGAGGUCGCAAUGAGCCGAGAUCAUGCCACUG
ensembl:lncRNA novel transcript, antisense to SYNPO